rnacentral:tRNA from 1 species
CGCCGCGUAGCACGCCGCAGAGAGCAGCUCGCCUUACAAGCGAGGGGUCGCAGGUUCGAAACCUGCCGCGCCCACCA